GACGAACGCUGGCGGCGUGCCUAAUACAUGCAAGUCGAACGCAGUGGGGACGGGUGAGUAACACGUGGGUAACCUCCCAUCAGAGGGGAUAACACUUGGAAACAGGUGCUAAACCGAUACUGAUGGAUGGACCCGCGGUGCAUUAGCUAGUGGGUGGGGUAACGGCUCACCAAGGCGACGAUGCAUAGCCGGCCUGAGAGGAGGAGCGGCCACACUGGGACUGAGACACGGCCCAGACUCCUACGGGAGGCAGCAGUGGGGAAUCUUCGGCAAUGGGCGAAAGUCUGACCGAGCAACGCCGCGUGAGUGAAGAAGGUUUUCGGAUCGUAAAACUCUGUUGUUAGAGAGGCGGUACCUAACCAGAAAGCCACGGCUAACUACGUGCCAGCAGCCGCGGUAAUAC
rnacentral:rRNA from 1 species